CCUACGGGAGGCAGCAGUGGGGAAUUUUGCGCAAUGGGGGCAACCCUGACGCAGCAACGCCGCGUGAGUGAUGAAGGCCUUCGGGUCGUAAAGCUCUGUCAGAGGGGAAGAAAUGCAGGUGGUGAACAACCAUUCUGUUUGACGGUACCCUCAAGGGAAGCACCGGCUAACUCCGUGCCAGCAGCCGCGGUAAUACGGAGGGUGCGAGCGUUGUUCGGAGUUAUUGGGCGUAAAGCGCGUGUAGGCGGUUUGUUAAGUCGGAGGUAAAAGCCCCGGGCUAAACCGGGGAAGUGCAUUGGAUACUGGCAGACUUGAGUACGGGAGAGGGGAGUGAAAUUCCCAGUGUAGGAGUAAAAUCCGUAGAUAUUGGGAGGAACACCGGUGGCGAAGGCGGCGCUCGGGACCGAUCCUGACGCUGAGACGCGAAAGCGUGGGGAGCAAACGGGAUUAGAUACCCUGGUAGU
rnacentral:rRNA from 1 species